UACGGAGGGUGCAAGCGUUGUUCGGAUUCAUUGGGCGUAAAGGGUGCGUAGGCGGAUUGCUAAGUCAGGGGUGAAAUCCUGGAGCUCAACUCCAGAACUGCCUUUGAUACUGGUGAUCUUGAGUCCGGGAGAGGUGAGUGGAACUGCGAGUGUAGAGGUGAAAUUCGUAGAUAUUCGCAAGAACACCAGUGGCGAAGGCGGCUCACUGGCCCGGUACUGACGCUGAGGUGCGAAAGCGUGGGGAGCAAACAGG
rnacentral:rRNA from 1 species